AGCCUUAAAAAAUCCUCAAGUUCUUACAAAGCCGAACGGUGUAAUUUGCGUCAGUAUGCUAACAACUACGAUAAUUCUUACCCUAUUCGGUGUCUUGGGGUAUUGGUCUUUCGGUACUAUGGAAGAAAAUGUUUUAAGAUCGUUACCAUUCGAUGAUGAUUCAGCAAUGUUGGCGAUAGGAUUAUACUUAAUCGCAGUCGCUUUUGCCUAUCCCAUACAGUGUUACCCAGCGAUUCAGAUUAUAAUAGAAGUAAUCAAAAAUAGGAAUAUGCACUAUGUGCCUUCGGACAGCACGCUGAAGACAAUUGAAUGUGUCGCAAGACCAGCUUUUGUUUUGACUUCUUUUUUCGUCUGUUACUUGGUGCCGAUUCAAGGUGCAUUCGUUGCGUUCGUCGGAAACUUAUGUACUACUCUUAUCGCCCUGGUUUUCCCAGCUCUAA